UACGGAGGGAGCUAGCGUUGUUCGGAAUUACUGGGCGUAAAGCGCGCGUAGGCGGCUUUGUAAGUUAGAGGUGAAAGCCCGGGGCUCAACCCCGGAACUGCCUUUAAGACUGCAUCGCUUGAAUCCAGGAGAGGUGAGUGGAAUUCCGAGUGUAGAGGUGAAAUUCGUAGAUAUUCGGAAGAACACCAGUGGCGAAGGCGACUACCUGGCCUGUUCUUGACGCUGAGGCGCGAAAGCUAGGGGAGCAAACGGG
rnacentral:rRNA from 1 species